rnacentral:rRNA from 1 species
AUUUGCACAGGUGCUGCAUGGCUGUCGUCAGCUCGUGCCGUGAGGUGUUGGGUUAACGUCCCGCAACGAGCGCAACCCUUAUCAUUAGUUGCCAACAGGUGAAGCUGGGAACUCUAAUGAGACUGCCUGGGUUAACCAGGAGGAAGGUGAGGAUGACGUCAAGUCCUCAUGGCCCUUAUGGGUAGGGCUUCACACGUCAUACAAUGGUCGGUACAGAGGGUUGCCAAGCCGCGAGGUGGAGCCAAUCCCAGAAAGCCGAUCGUAGUCCGGAUUGCAGUCUGCAACUCGACUGCAUGAAGUCGGAAUCGCUAGUAAUCGCGGAUCCAGCAUGUCGCGGUGAAUACGUUCCCGGGUCUU